rnacentral:rRNA from 1 species
AAUGAUUGUAUUUAAAGUGGUUGGGUAUUAAUAGUUAUGUUCUUUAAACCUAAAGAUUUUGGCGGUAUUUUAGUCUAUUCAGAGGAACCUGCCCUGUGAUUGAUAAUCCACGUUGGACCUUUCUUUAAAUAAUUAGUUUAUAUACCGUCGUUAUAAGAAUAUUUUAUAAGAAUAAUAAUAUUUAAUUUUCAUAAAGUUGAAAUAUUUCAGAUCAAGGUGUAGCUUAUAUUAAAGUAGAGGUGGGUUACAAUAAAUUUAUUUAAACGGAUAUUUUAAUGCAAUGUUAGAAUUGAAGGUGGAUUUGAUAGUAAAUUUAAAUAGAUUGUUAAAUUGAUAUAAGCUCUAAAAUGUGUAC